GUUCUAUAUCACGCGCCUGGGGCCCAAGGAUACAGGGAAAGAACGUCAGAGGAAGCUGCACCAAAGCGAGGCUGCGCAGGGCGCAAAAAAGCAGUCAGAGGGUGGCGCCUUUUUUAAAGAAGUUUCCAUCCUUUCUGUCCUAAAGCUCAGGCCGUUCCCCACCCCCACCGCUCGCUAGCCUUCUGUUCCCAGUCCCCUGGCAUGAUCUGAUCGCCUUUGAAGCAGUCGCAGCUGUUUUCCAGACGCCUUGCUCCUCAGGUCGGGGAGUGAUCUGAUGGCCCAGGUUCGAGAAACUUCUUUGCCCUCCGGCUCUGGGGUCCGCUGGAUCUCCGGAGGUGGGGGAGGAGCCUCUCCUGAGGAGGCGGUUGAGAAGGCGGGGAAAAUGGAGGAGGCGGCGGCGGGGGCUACGAAGGCGUCUUCGAGACGUGAAGCCGAGGAGAUGAAGCUGGAGCCAUUACAAGAGCGUGAGCCCGCGCCGGAGGAGAACUUGACGUGGAGCAGCAGCGGCGGCGACGAGAAGGUGCUCCCUUCAAUCCCCCUUCGCUGUCACAGCAGCUCCUCGCCCGUUUGCCCGCGCCGCAAGCCCCGCCCUCGGCCCCAGCCCCGGGCCCGCUCCCGCAGCCAGCCUGGGCUCUCGGCCCCACCCCCGCCUCCAGCCCGGCCCCCGCCCCCGCCGCCACCCCCGCCCCCACCCGCACCGCGGCCCAGGGCCUGGCGUGGAUCCCGGCGCAGAUCCCGGCCUGGGUCCAGGCCUCAGACACGGAGAAGCUGCUCUGGUGACCUAGACGGGUCGGGGGAUCCUGGCGGCUUAGGGGACUGGUUGCUGGAGGUCGAGUUUGGUCAGGGUCCCACAGGCUGCUCUCAUGUGGAGAGCUUUAAAGUAGGUAAGAACUGGCAGAAGAACCUGAGGUUGAUCUACCAGCGUUUCGUUUGGAGUGGGACCCCAGAGACUAGGAAACGUAAAGCAAAGUCAUGCAUCUGUCACGUAUGUAGUACCCAUAUGAACAGACUCCACUCUUGUCUCUCCUGUGUCUUUUUUGGCUGCUUCACUGAGAAACAUAUUCACAAACAUGCAGAAACAAAGCAGCACCAUUUAGCUGUAGACCUUUAUCAUGGGGUCAUAUAUUGCUUCAUGUGUAAGGAUUAUGUAUAUGACAAAGACAUAGAACAGAUUGCC
rnacentral:lncRNA from 1 species